GCUAUCGUAACUUAAAUAAAGUUUAAUAUUGAAGCUAUUAGGAUGGGCCUUAAAAAGCCCCGAAAGCA
rnacentral:tRNA from 2 species